AUGGUCAGAGCUGUGGUGCCUGCAAUUCCGGCUUCAUCUCCACACCUACAGGUUUUUGAUAAUUUGCUCCUUGGGAGGUCAGUUUCCUUCAAGUACAGCUAAAUCAAAGAGACACCGACUUAUUUUAGUGCUUGAGAUUUUGAUUGCCAAUCUGCAACAAUGCCCAUGCCCUUUGGUAUU